GCAAAUGAAGCUCCCGAAAUUCCGGACAACGUGGGCGACUGGCUUAGGGGUGUCUAUCGAUUCGCCACCGAUAGGAAUGAUUUCCGGAGAUACAUGGAACCCCUGUGCUGUGUUCUAACCUUCCAAAACAGAGCCUCCAAUAUGUGACCCGCACUGACUUGUCUGAUGGAAGCUGAAUUUGACUCAGACAGGCACCCUUUCCCUGAGUCCCUUCAGAUCUACACUCUGGUCAGCAGACUUCCACCGUAGUGGUGUCCUCUGUUCUGUGAAGUUCUGUACAUAGUUCCUAAGUUUCUCCAAGGGGGUGCCUUUUGUUUUUAUUCUGAGGAAUAAUCCUAAUGGUAUUUAAUACAUAUUUGAAAUAAAGAUUGCGUGCAAUGA